AUUGAACGCUGGCGGCAGGCUUAACACAUGCAAGUCGAGCGGGGUGAUGGUGCUUGCACUAUCACUUAGUGGCGGACGGGUGAGUAAUGCUUAGGAAUCUGCCUAUUAGUGGGGGACGACAUCUCGAAAGGGAUGCUAAUACCGCAUACGUCCUACGGGAGAACGCAGGGGAACAUUUGUGACCUUGCGCUAAUAGAUGAGCCUAAGUCGGAUUAGCUAGUUGGUGGGGUAAAGGCCUACCAAGGCGACGAUCUGGAGCGGGUCUGAGAGGAUGAUCCGCCACACUGGGAAUGAGACACGGCCCAGACUCCUACGGGAGGCAGCAGUGGGGAAUAUUGGACAAUGGGGGGAACCCUGAUCCAGCCAUGCCGCGUGUGUGAAGAAGGCCUUAUGGUUGUAAAGCACUUUAAGCGAGGAGGAGGCUCUUUUGGUCAAUACCCAAGAUGAGUGGACGUUACUCGCAGAAUAAGCACCGGCUAACUCUGUGCCAGCCGCCGCCGUAA
rnacentral:rRNA from 1 species